UGCCUUUUGAUAAUCAAUAAAAGGUAAGCCCUGCCCAGUGAUUUACGAAUUAAACGGCCGCGGUACCCUGACCGUGCUAAGGUAGCAUAUAAUAUGCCCUUUAAUUGGGGGCUGGUAUGAAUGGAUAAACGAGAGCAAAGCUGUCUCUAAAGCACCCAAAAAAUUUGUCCUUUAGGUGAAGAGGCCUAGAUUCUAUUAAAAGACAAAAAGACCCUGUAGAGCUUACAUCACAAAAUUUAAAAUAAAACUAUUAUAUAUUAUCUUUUAUUUAUACAGUGAUUUAACUGGGGCGGUUAAGGAGCAAUGUUUACCCUCCUUUUUUAUUAAAGGUCUACUUCCCUACACUUGAUCCUUUAUAGAUUAUAGAAAAAAGCUACCUCAGGGAUAACAGGCUUAUUUCUUCUGAGAGUACUAAUCGAAGAAGAAGUUUGGCACCUCGAUGUUGGCUUAAAGGACCCCGAAGAUAGCAGAAGUCUUCAAAGGCAGGUUUGUUCAACCUUUAAACCUUU
rnacentral:rRNA from 1 species